UAAAAAAAUAUGGUGCUAUUCCCAGACCCCCACCACAGCGCUGAUGAGUUGACAAAUAUUUUGCCAGUCAUAAUGAGUUCUCGGGCAGAAGGACAGGCGGACUGAAGGACAGGAGGACAGGAGGACAAGAAACAGGACGGUCCACCGGCGUGUUAAUUACGACCCACAUCCGACGAGCGGGAUGGCUUUCACUAGGCUGUGAUGACAGGGUUAAUGGUGGAACAGCGCCGAAAGCCGCAAUUAAAAAGCUGGUUCGCAGCAAUUUCACUUUUAUCAGUGAACAUGUAUUGCGUAUACGAUAUGUAUGCCGUGUCACGGCUUGUGUGCGCCAAUAUGAAAAGUCAUCCUAAUCAGAAA